UACGGGGGGAGCAAGCGUUGUUCGGAUUUACUGGGCGUAAAGGGCGCGUAGGCGGCCACCGCAAGUCGACUGUGAAAUCUCCGGGCUUAACCCGGAAAGGUCAGCCGAUACUGCGGGGCUAGAGUGCGGAAGGGGCAACUGGAAUUCUCGGUGUAGCGGUGAAAUGCGUAGAUAUCGAGAGGAACACCUGCGGCGAAGGCGGGUUGCUGGGCCGACACUGACGCUGAGGCGCGAAAGCUAGGGGAGCGAACGGG
rnacentral:rRNA from 1 species